CAAGUUGUCAUCCCCACCACUCUGUGGGCAGUUCUUUUGCAACGUUGUUGCAAAUUUUGAAUCAAUGUUCGUGUCAUUGUAUAUCCUACUUCGAAAACUAGUGCACCGAGCUAGCCCUAGAGUGUGGCCAGCUGACAAUAGGACGAGGUCCUUGAGUUCAAGGCCAUGAGAUUGGAAGUUGGAAAGAAGUUGACUGAAGCUGAAAAAUGGUGGAGGGAGAUUUCUGUUGGCAUCGUUUGCACUCGCUGUUCUCGCGUCUCUUCUUCCUACUAGUACCUUGUAGUUUGGCCCUCCUAGCUGAAACACAAAUGGUCAAUAACUGAGUCAAUUUAAUAAUUAGUUAUAAAUGUUUUUGGAGAAGAAGCCAAAACUUACAAUAGCAACGGAGUCACGAGCAGCAACAGCUAAGAUGUCAGCACAAGACACGACAUUUUCUUUACAAACUUUAUUCACUUGUGUCUUAAUUUGAUCCACAACAUCAAAUCCUCUAAUCGAGUUAGCAUUAGGAAAUGCAGUCUUUUCUCCGGUGAAGGUGGCAGUAUCAUCCAACAAGACCGAUCCAUCACAACCCUAACCAUUUAUUAUCAAAACAUACACGAAACCUUCUCAAUACAUCGUAUAUGAUUCAAACAAACUAAAGAUCAAUGAGAACUAUAAAGACAAAAAAUAAUGAACUUACGUUGACAAAACAAUCGUGAAAAUGGAGACGUAAUAGCGAAGCACCCAUUCGAGGCUCGCGCCUGAUGGCCUUCGAAACGACGGAUUUAAUGGUGGACAAGGCCCUUGGGCAGACGUUGUUGUAAAAGUUUGGAGUUAGUUGUGCAUGGGUAUGGCUUAGGGAAGCUGAUAAAACAAUAAAACAAAGCAAAAGAGAGUGGAUAAUGGAUGCCAUCUGAUCAGAUAUUAUAUUCUUGGCUUUUAAUUCUUGCAGUUUGCAACAAUAAUAUUUAUUGGCAAUUCCACAAUGAAGUUGACAAGGAAUGUGUUCGCUUUAUAUAGGGAAAAAUGAGAGAGAGCUCAAUUAUCAACAACCAUUGACAAAGUCUCCCAUGGUGAUUAUAAUAUAAUUUAUGUUUAAGCUUCUGAAUUUUAUAUUUUGCAAACAUUGAUAGGAGAGAGUUUGAAAUAGUGUUAAAAAAAAUAUGUUCUCUUCUUUUUUUUUUUUUUUUCAUAAAACAAAAUAGAAAAGCUUUCUGAAAAUAUGUUUUAAGUAAUUUGUUCUAGAUAUCAACAUCUUUUUAUGGUAUAGGAAAUGACUUAUAAAAUUAGUUUAGAUUGUGUUGCUUCUUGAGUAACUGUACAUUUAAAGGCACGUUUGCAAAUUUAUUACCCUGUGGAUUUUAUUAGUUUUAACUAAUUGAAUAGUUUAAUCUUUUAAGUUUGAGAAACUAUUUUAAAUGAUUGCUAAUUAAAGUCCAGUUAGUUGCUAACUUUACCCUAACAAAAGUUUGAAAAAUUCGUUAAUUCUUCUCUUGUUCACCUCCCUCCCACGUAAUCAUAAUUAUUGUCGUCAUCGAUCCAUUACAAAGAAGUGAUCUAAAUCUAGACCAAAACAAAAAUUCUCUACCUUAUUGUUCAAGAUCUACAAUGAGUGUGACAAUAAUUAGAUGAAGGGAGCAGCAUCUACAUUGAUGCCAAAUCAAAAAAUAAAAGAAGAAAUCGAUAAAUAUGGUCACAAAUCUAAUAAUUGUGAUAUUAUUAUUAACUAGUAGUCAAAGUAAUUCAUCAACUAUUUAAAACCAGUUCUUCACCCUUUAUUUAUUUUUAAAAUGUAAGAACUAAGUAGAUUGAGAAAUUCAAAAAAUUUCGAUCCAUAUAAUCAAAUUUUUAUUUAGAAUAUCUCAAUAUCCAAUAUGGAUCAACUCAUCCCAUUUUAAUUAAUACAUAUGUUUGAGUUAUGAUCUGGUGAAGAAGUUAACAGUAUUAUUAUGUCACCCUGAUAGAAUUAUUCCCAUUUCACCUACUUUUCUUAUCACAAUUAAUACAUUAUUAUAAUCUUUUCAAAAAAGAAAAGCUUAAUUUAAAUGAUAAAAGUAGAUAUAAAUUAUUAUUUUUAGGAAAGUAAAUGUAUUAUAACUUAUACACAAAUUGAAACAAUAAGAAGAAUAUUUAAUUUUUAUGAGAACGAUAUUUAAACAUACAUAAAAUAAGUAGCACCGCGUUGAAUAUGAAUUAAAACCAUUAAACAAUGGAAAGUAUGCUUAAUUAGCAUGUUAAUUAAACUAUCAUAAUAUGUUUUAUGAAUCCAUUUGGUAUUAUAUAACAAAAGUCAAUUGUUGGGUUGUGCCAAUCUCAUAGAUCAAUUUUCUUAUCCACCAAACUUAUAUUGAAAAGUAAACCCAAUAGUUUAACUUAAUCAAUUUUUGUACUUUAGCCCUUUUUUUUUUUUUUUUUUUUUUUGUUAACUUAACUUGGAUACAAUUACCUAGUUGUUUUUUAGACACAAUUAUGAUAGUUUGACGGUUGAUUAAGUAUCAUUAUCCUUAAAAAAACAAAUGUGAUAUUUCAUAUAAUUUGAUGAUUGAUUGGAGAAUGUGGCGUCGGCUUUUCAUAUGAUAUUGCAAAAUUUGACUCGUACUUAAGUGUGAUGAACCAAAUUAAAUAGUACUGCCUAAUUUUGAACUUUUUAUGAAGUACUUUUAGGGUCCUAAACUAUUAACCCUAUGUGACUAUGGCUAAUACAAACUUAGAUAAAAAAAAAAAAAAGAUUGACAUAAUCUAAUGUUCUAAAGGGUUUGCUCUAUAUAUGUCUGUCUUGGUUAAUAAACAAAGGAUUAUUCAAAUUGUAUACUAAUUGAUGUAGAUUAUUACACUAAUAAGGGAAAUAAACUCAAUAAAAGUAGACUCGCUAUAGGGAAAGAGCAAAAUUACUUUUUGGGCACGAAAUAACUUUUUCUCCUAUCGUUUAGGGUAUUUGCAUAUUUAAAUAGGAUUUGGCUAACUAAUGUUAAAAAGAAAAUAAGAAAAAUAACAUUAGAUAAAGUGAAAAACAUAUUAUAAAAAAUAAAGAGUGGGAGGAAGAUGUAAAACAAUUGAAGAACUUGUAUUAAACCAAUAAUAGAAAUGACAGUACACAGUUUGAAAUGGAAUUAAUAAUAAGCUAAAAAGAGUGCAAUAAAUUUAAGAACAAAUGUCGUAAUUAAGAUGUAGAUGGCAUUAGUGACGAAGAUGGCUAUGUGGUCUAGAAACAUAUAGCGCAUAAAUUUGAAAAAUAUUCCAAUGCAUAAAAUUAAAGAAACCAUCUACAAUAAUAUUCUCUCACAGUCAACAACUAAACCAUUGUGAAGGAGAGUUGAGUCUUUAAUAUACCAUAAAUAUAUAUGUGGUUGGGUUUCGCUUAUACAAAUGUAUAGAAUUAGAGUGUUUCUCUCCCUCUAUCUUCUUUUUUAUCUCUCUUUGCUAUGGUUAAUGUUAUUUUUAGUAUUACAUAUUUCAACUAAUUCAACCAUGAUUGGAACUAGUUUUUAAUAACCAAAUCACUUUAACUAAUAUUCAUUAUGGUUUGGAUCUAAAAUUUAUUAUAUAUUUUUUUAUUGUGCUAUACAUAUGAUAAUAUUUUGAACUGAUUAAUGGUUAUAUUUGCAUCCGAUCGUUGAAGGGAUAGACGAUAUAUUUAAAAAAAGUUGUGAAUAUAAUGCAUAUAAUACUCAUAAAUAUACAUUUCCAAACACUAAAGAAUGCACAUAAUAGAAAUACAUACACCACUUUUACACUUCUAUUGACACCCAAAUCCCAAACAACAUAAACCAUGUGUAGAAAUCCAAAUUCAAAUUAAAAAAAAAACUAUUUGAACAUAUAAAAACAAACAAACAAACAAGUGUCAUUUUUAAAAAACCAAAUAGUUAUUAAGCUAGACUCAAAUAUUUUAAUUGACAACUCUGCAAUUGGCUCUGACUUCUCCGUCACUUCCGGUAAGUGGAUUCAUAUUCCCCAUUUUGAUCAUGGAAGAAGCAAAAUCAUUUUUGAAUGCAUUUGGGUAUGUAUUAUAAUAUUUCACCAAAUUAUCACUGUCGCCAUUCCCACCGCCGAAGAGUUCUUGGUCGGAGUGGAGAAGACCCUUGUUGCUCAACAAAAACUUGAAGUAGGCAUUGUCAAAUGAAUAUGGAGUCUUGUCAAGACCACUUAGAUUGUCAUCACCACCGCUUUGUGGGCAGUUUCCCUGCAAUGUCGCUGCAAAUUUCGAGUCGAUGUUGGUGUCAUUGUAUAUCCUAUUUCGAAAACUGGUACACCGAGCAUACCCAAGAGUGUGGCCAGCCGACAAGACGACGAGGUCCUUGAGGUCGAGGCCAUGAGAUUGGAAGUUGGAAAGAAGCUGUGUGACAUUGAAAAAUGGUGGAGGAAGAUUUCUGUUGGCAUCGUUUACACUCGUUGUUCUUGCAUCUCUUCUUCCUACUAGUACUUUGUAGUUUGGUCCUCCAAGCUAAAACACCAAAACUUAAUUAAGACAUGAGUCAACUUGAACAUAUAUAACUCAACCCUAAGCCAUACGUUUGAUACCUAGUAUAUGCUAUAAGUAGUUGGCAGCUCAAUAAUUUGGAAACAAUGUUGGUGGACAAGUUAACCACUAACCAUCUACUGGUAUAGGUAAUAAUUUAGUUUUAUAUACAAUACUAACAUAUACACAUGUAUGUAUGUAAGUCUCUAUAUUGACCUAUACUAAAUUUGUCAGUGGUUGUAAGUAACCUACCGAUUAAAUUUUGAUGGCAAAUUU
rnacentral:lncRNA from 1 species